CACGCUCCUCUCCUCUUACCGCCACUGUCUCUCACUCUCACGAUCUCACCGCAAAAUCGUCGUCUCCCCGCGUCUGAGGGCUGAGGCAGAAUCGUCGUUGCCUUCCCUCGUCGCAACCUGAACGUCGCCUCCUCCAGCCUGCUCUUCGUCGCCGCCUCCACCCCGGUCUUUUUCGCAGCUUCCAGUCCGGUAUCCGUCACCGCCUCCAGCAAGAUCUUGGCCGAUUUUCAUUGCUAUUGCAGAAGCAUCUUCGCCGAUUUUCAAGGUUAAUGGUAAUUCUCACAACAAUAACAACAUCAACUCGACAACUCCUCUUCGGAGCUGAACAACAAUGUUUAUUCUUCAUCUUCUUCCUCCACCUCACCCAAAGGAGCGGAAGCUGCACUUUACAGGGAGCUAUGGCAUGCGUGUGUAGAUCCUCUUGUUACAGUUCCAAGAGAAGGAGAAAGAGUUUUCUAUUUCCCUCAGGGACACAUAGAACAGUGGCAUAUGAAAUUAGGAGGAGGCAUCAACAAAUCAGGUGGCUGACCAACACAUGCCUGUGUACGAUCUUCCUUCCAAGAUCCUUUGUCGAGUCAUUAACGUGCAGCUCAAGGCGGAGCCCGACACGGAUGAGGUGCUUGCCCAGAUUACCUUGCUUCCGGAGCAAAAUGAAUGUUUUCUCAGCUUUGUUGUUUAGUUUUGGAAAAUUAUGGAAUAUCGUUCCUGUGUUUUGCUUUUUUUGGUUUUGAUUUUGAAUGUUGUGAUGGCAGCAAGAUGAGAACGCGGUCGACAAAGAGCCUCCACUGCCACCACGGUGUCGUCUUCUCCCCUGCACUCUGUGUCUGCAUCUAGAUAAAUGGAGCCUCAGGUAACAAUCAACAAUGGCUUCAAUGGCAGCGUUUCUUCUACACCAUCCUUAAAUUUUGCACAAAACCUAACAACAACAAAGCUUCCUUGUCACGAUAAUAAUCAUAUCAUGAAGACAACAUCAAUAAGAACAGCAACAGCAACUUGAACUGAAGGGAACUCAUAUUGAGAAGCAGUGAAAUAGCAACAGUUGGUGCCAUCUUCAAUUUCAGAUACCCGCCCAAUCUGUAACCGGAAAGAAACCCCAACGCAAUCUUCUUCCCCAGAUGUCUUGAGCGCCGUUUCCUAGGGAGUGGGAUGUCAAGGUUUUGGACCUAGUUCAGAGUUGGAGAGGAAGUGGAAGGAAAUUGGGCAGCUCACCAAGGAAAUUGGGCUUAGUUCACAACAGGCCCCAUCACUGUUAUUAUUAUUCUGCACAUUCACAACACCCCUACUAAUUCAUACUUCUCCAGAGUCUAGACUUCUCUUGUUCUCCAAACUCAAGGUGAUUGAGUUUAUUUGUUAUUAUCUGUGUGAUUGAGUUUCUCUGAUGCAUUGAACUGAAUUUACUUAUUGAAGUUUGCUUAGUUA